UACGGAGGGAGCUAGCGUUAUUCGGAAUUACUGGGCGUAAAGCGUGCGCAGGCGGUUCGUUGUGUCGGUGGUGAAAUCCCCGGGCUUAACCUGGGAAUGGCCAUGGAAACUGGCGAACUGGAGUGUGGCAGAGGGGGGUGGAAUUCCGCGUGUAGCAGUGAAAUGCGUAGAGAUGCGGAGGAACACCGAUGGCGAAGGCAGCCCCCUGGGCUAGCACUGACGCUCAGGCACGAAAGCGUGGGGAGCAAACAGG
rnacentral:rRNA from 1 species